ensembl:lncRNA LINC02506 long intergenic non-protein coding RNA 2506
GGUAACCCCCUUGGAUCCCCUUCCACACUGUGGGAGGUUUGUUCUUUUGCUCUUUGCAAUAAAGCUUGCUGCUGCUCACUCUUUGGGUCCAGACUGUCUUUAUGAGCUAUAACACUCACCGGGAAGGUCUGCAGCUUCACUCCUGAAGCCAAGGAGACCACGAACCCACCGGGAGGAAGGAACAACUACAGACACGCCGGCUUAAGAGCUGUAGCACUCACUGCGAAGGUCCGCAGCUUCACUCUUGAGCCAGAGACCACGAACCCACCAGAAGGAAGAAACUCCAAACACAUCCGAACAUCAGAAGGAAAAAACUCCAGACACGCCGCCUUUAAGAACUGCAACACUGCGAGGGUCCGCGGCUUCAUUCUUGAAGUCAGUGAGACCAAGAACCCACCAAUUCCAGACACACUACCAAAGGCAGAGGGGAGCUCCUAGACAAAGUCAAAAAUUUCAUCUAUUAGGAGGGAUGAAGAGAACGCAUCAAAACCCUGCUAUAUUGCUUAUAUUUUGCUUACAAAUGGAACAUAUCAAAUCAAGCUUUUGUGAACUUGAGGGAAGAAACAAAGAAUAUGAAGCCUAAAUGGAAGUGUCAGGAAAUGGUCGCCUUGCGGACAAGGAAACAGCAGCCUGGAAGGCCAGGAGAGGGCAGACUACCCACCUAACCCUCUGCAGAAUUUUGUGUGGACCCUGGAGACCAGAAACUAACUUCUCCUGCAGAGACAAGGUCUUGCUCUGUCACCCUGGCUGGUCUUGAACUCCUGGCUUCAAGCAAUUCAUCCAUCUCAGCCUCCUGAGUAGCUGGGAUUACAGGUACAAGCCACUGCACCCAGCUGUUUUUUGUUUUGUUUUGUGUUUUCUCCUCACCAUAUAAGUUUAAUUGCCUAGUUUAAGCUCCUACCGUCUUUCAUCUUCAACACAGAACUAUCUUGGUGUUAAGAAAUCUAUCUUUAACAUUUGCUGAUUGGCUGACUAAUCACUGUAUUAUGAGUUAUAUCCAUUAUAAUGUUUUUAACAUGUUUAUUUUACUCAAUGGGGAAUCUAGAUGACUUGCUGCAUGUGAAGAACAGUUCCUGGCACAGGGUUUGCUCCAAAUAAAUGUUGUCAUCAUCACCAGC